AUGACGCUCUUCGGGCACCACCGCAGCCGGCUGAGCCUGGCCAUCCACGAGGACAAGCUGGUGCCACCAGCGUUCCUCAAAGAGCUGCCCAUGCUGGUGUCCGUGCUGCACAGGGAGAUGGCCACGGGGACCAUGAAGCUGGCGCCGGAGAGCAACACCCGCAGCGUGCGGCGGCGACCAAGAAAAGAGGUUGAGAUAUGGGUGAAGGUCACGAACAAAUCAAAUGGAGAGAGGCGCAAGAAAUCCAAAAGAGCACACCCAGAGAAGAAAGAGCCGAUGGCCGGUGCAAGAAAUCCAAGGAAGAGUCGACAGGGACGGUGCUGGGACAUGAGCAUGGUUGCCCAACGAGUAUGA
rnacentral:rRNA from 1 species